rnacentral:rRNA from 1 species
UAUUAUUUAAAAUGUAAAUAUUAAUAUAAAAGUAGUAAUAGAUAUGUUCUUGAAACUUAAAAAAUUUGGCGGUAUUUUAGUCUAUCCAGAGGAACCUGUUUUAUAAUCGAUAAUCCACGAUGGACCUUACUUAAAUUUGUAAUCAGUUUAUAUACCGUCGUUAUCAGAAUAUUUUAUAAGAAUAAUAAUAUUCAAUAAUUUUAAUUAAAAUUUAUAUCAGAUCAAGGUGUAGCUUAUGUUUAAGUAAUAAUGGGUUACAAUAAAUUUAUUUAAACGAAUAAAAUUAUGAAAAAAUUUUUGAAGGUGGAUUUGGUUGUAAAAUUAUAAAGAUUAAUAAUUUGAUUUUAGCUCUAAAAUAUGUACACAUCGCCCGUCGCUCUUAUUAUUAAGGUAAGAUAAGUCGUAACAUAGUAGAUGUACUGGAAAGUGUAUCUAGAAUGA